rnacentral:rRNA from 1 species
GACGAACGCUGGCGGCGUGCCUAACACAUGCAAGUCGAGCGAAUGAAGUUCCUUCGGGAAUGGAUUUAGCGGCGGACGGGUGAGUAACACGUGGGCAACCUGCCUCAUAGAGGGGAAUAGCCUUCCGAAAGGGAGAUUAAUACCGCAUAAGAUUGUAGUAUCGCAUGAUACAGCAAUUAAAGGAGCAAUCCGCUAUGAGAUGGGCCCGCGGCGCAUUAGCUCGUUGGUGAGGUAACGGCUCACCAAGGCGACGAUGCGUAGCCGACCUGAGAGGGUGAUCGGCCACAUUGGGACUGAGACACGGCCCAGACUCCUACGGGAGGCAGCAGUGGGGAAUAUUGCACAAUGGGGGAAACCCUGAUGCAGCAACGCCGCGUGAGUGAUGACGGCCUUCGGGUUGUAAAGCUCUGUCUUCAGGGACGAUAAUGACGGUACCUGAGGAGGAAGCCACGGCUAACUACGUG